rnacentral:rRNA from 1 species
UGAGUAACGCGUGGGUAACCUGCCCUAUACACAUGGAUAACAUACUGAAAAGUUUACUAAUACAUGAUAAUAUAUAUUUGCGGCAUCGUAGAUAUAUCAAAGUGUUAGCGGUAUAGGAUGGACCCGCGUCUGAUUAGCUAGUUGGUGAGAUAACUGCCCACCAAGGCGACGAUCAGUAGCCGACCUGAGAGGGUGAUCGGCCACAUUGGAACUGAGACACGGUCCAAACUCCUACGGGAGGCAGCAGGG